UGCUUGUCUCAAAGAUUAAGCCAUGCAUGUCCAAGCAUAAACCGAAUAUGGUAAAGCCGCGAAUGGCUCAUUACAACAGCCAUAGUUUAUUGGAUCUUAGAGUCCUACUUGGAUACCUGUGGUAAUUCUAGAGCUAAUACACGCAAUCAAGCCUCAACCUUACGGGCGGGGCGCAUUUAUUAGAACAAAACCAAUUGGCUUCGGCCAUAGAUUGGUGAAUCUGAAUAACUACGCUGAUCGCACGGGCUUGUCCCGGCGACGUAUCCUUCAAGUGUCUGCCUUAUCAACUUUCGAUGGUAGUUUAUAUGACUACCAUGGUUGUAACGGGUAACGGAGAAUAAGGGUUCGACUCCGGAGAGGGAGCCUGAGAAACGGCUACCACAUCCRAGGAAGGCAGCAGGCA
rnacentral:rRNA from 1 species